CGGACGGGUGAGUAACGCGUGAGCAACCUGCCUUUCAGAGGGGGAUAACGUUUGGAAACGAACGCUAAUACCGCAUGAGACCACGGUACUGCAUAGUACAGUGGCCAAAGGAGCAAUCCGCUGAAAGAUGGGCUCGCGUCCGAUUAGAUAGUUGGUGGGGUAACGGCCCACCAAGUCGACGAUCGGUAGCCGGACUGAGAGGUUGAACGGCCACAUUGGGACUGAGACACGGCCCAGACUCCUACGGGAGGCAGCAG
rnacentral:rRNA from 1 species